GGAGCCAAGAACCAGUCGUCGCGGGAGAGAGAGACUCGGGCCGAGAGGGGUAGGAACCGUCGCGUCUUGGCUUGGGUUGUGCCUUGUGCUUGCGGGAUUACCCGCGCCGCGCCGCGGGUCCCCAUCGAGUUGCCGGGCAUGGGCGCCCCCAGAGCUUCUGGGCGCGUCAUCAGUACUGGUGGUUAGCGCCGCGCCGUAGAACGGACCUGUCAACAUCUUCCUUGCCG
rnacentral:lncRNA from 7 species